rnacentral:rRNA from 1 species
CAUCCUCCAAGGCUAAAUACUCCUGACUGACCGAUAGUGAACCAGUACCGUGAGGGAAAGGCGAAAAGAACCCCGGCGAGGGGAGUGAAAAAGAACCUGAAACCGUGUACGUACAAGCAGUGGGAGCCCCACCACCAAAGCAUUCUCUGGUGUUGAAGGCCCUGCAAAGCAGCAUCGCGGUGGCGGAGCGUCGUUUGCGACGCCCAACACACAAAACAAGCGGUGAGUGCUUUGGGGUGGGGUGACUGCGUACCUUUUGUAUAAUGGGUCAGCGACUUAUAUUCUGUAGCAAGGUUAACCGUAUAGGGGAGCCGUAGGGAAACCGAGUCUUAACCGGGCGUUAAGUUGCAGGGUAUAGACCCGAAACCCGGUGAUCUAGCCAUGGGCAGGUUGAAGGUUGGGUAACACUAACUGGAGGACCGAACCGACUAAUGUUGAAAAAUUAGCGGAUGACCUGUGGCUGGGGGUGAAAGGCCAAUCAAACCGGGAGAUAGCUGGUUCUCCCCGAAAGCUAUUUAGGUAGCGCCUCGUGAACUCAUCUCCGGGGGUAGAGCACUGUUUCGGCUAGGGGGUCAUCCCGACUUACCAACCCGAUGCAAACUGCGAAUACCGAAGAAUGUUAUCACGGGAGACACACGGCGGGUGCUAACGUCCGUCGUGAAGAGGGAAACAACCCAGACCGCCAGCUAAGGUCCCAAAGUCAUGGUUAAGUGGGAAACGAUGUGGGAAGGCCCAGACAGCCAGGAUGUUGGCUUAGAAGCAGCCAUCAUUUAAAGAAAGCGUAAUAGCUCACUGGUCGAGUCGGCCUGCGCGGAAGAUGUAACGGGGCUAAACCAUGCACCGAAGCUGCGGCAGCGACGCUGAUGCGUUGUUGGGUAGGGGAGCGUUCUGUAAGCCUGUGAAGGUGGCCUGUGAGGGAUGCUGGAGGUAUCAGAAGUGCGAAUGCUGACAUAAGUAACGAUAAUGCGGGUGAAAAGCCCGCUCGCCGGAAGACCAAGGGUUCCUGUCCAACGUUAAUCGGGGCAGGGUGAGUCGACCCCUAAGGCGAGGCCGAAAGGCGUAGUCGAUGGGAAACGGGUUAAUAUUCCCGUA